AUUGAACGCUGGCGGCAUGCCUUACACAUGCAAGUCGAACGGCAGCACGGGAGCAAUCCUGGUGGCGAGUGGCGAACGGGUGAGUAAAGUAUCGGAACGUGCCCAGUCGUGGGGGAUAACGUAGCGAAAGUUACGCUAAUACCGCAUACGAUCUAUGGAUGAAAGCGGGGGAUCGCAAGACCUCGCGCGAUUGGAGCGGCCGAUAUCAGAUUAGGUAGUUGGUGGGGUAAAGGCUCACCAAGCCGACGAUCUGUAGCUGGUCUGAGAGGACGACCAGCCACACUGGGACUGAGACACGGCCCAGACUCCUACGGGAGGCAGCAGUGGGGAAUUUUGGACAAUGGGCGCAAGCCUGAUCCAGCCAUGCCGCGUGCAGGAUGAAGGCCUUCGGGUUGUAAACUGCUUUUGUACGGAACGAAAAGGUUUGGCUUAAUACGCUGAACUCAUGACGGUACCGUAAGAAUAAGCACCGGCUAACUACGUGCCAGCCGCCGCAGUAA
rnacentral:rRNA from 1 species